UACAGAGGGUGCGAGCGUUAAUCGGAAUUACUGGGCGUAAAGCGCACGUAGUCGGCUUUGCAAGUCGGUUGUGAAAUCCCCAGGCUCAACUUGGGAACUGCGUCCGAUACUGGAUGGCUUGAAUUCGGGAGAGGGAUGCAGAAUUCCAGGUGUAGCGGUGAAAUGCGUAGAUAUCUGGAGGAAUACCGGUGGCGAAGGCGGCAUCCUGGACCGACAUUGACGCUGAUGAGCGAAAGCCAGGGGAGCAAACGGG
rnacentral:rRNA from 1 species